rnacentral:misc_RNA from 1 species
GAAAUGCGAUAAGUAAUGUGAAUUGCAGAAUUCAGUGAGUCAUCGAAUCUUUGAACGCACCUUGCGCUCCUUGGUAUUCCUUGGAGCAUGCCUGUUUGAGUAUCAUGAAAUCUUCAAAGUAAAUCUUUUGUUAACUCAAUUGGUUUCUACUUUGGUAUUGGAGGUCUUUGCAGCUUCACACCUGCUCCUCUUUGUUCAUUAGCUGGAUCUCAGUGUUAUGCUUGGUUCCACUCGGCGUGAUAAGUUAUCUAUCGCUGAGGACACUGUAAAAGGUGGCCAAGGUAAAUGCAGAUGAACCGCUUCUAAUAGUCCAUUGACUUGGACAAUACUUUUAUGAUCUGAUCUCAAAUCAGGUAGGACUACCCGCUGAACUUAAGC